UACGGAGGAUGCAAGCGUUAUCCGGAAUCAUUGGGCGUAAAGCGUCCGCAGGUGGCAAUCCAAGUCUGCUAUCAAAGACCAGAGCUCAACUCUGGGAAGGUGGUGGAAACUGGAUAGCUAGAGUACGGUAGGGGUAGAGGGAAUUUCCAGUGUAGCGGUGAAAUGCGUAGAGAUUGGAAAGAACACCAGUGGCGAAGGCGCUCUACUGGGCCGUAACUGACACUAAGGGACGAAAGCUAGGGGAGCGAAAGGG
rnacentral:rRNA from 1 species